AUACGGAGGGUGCAAGCGUUGUUCGGAAUUAUUGGGCGUAAAGAGCAUGUAGGCGGACUGUUAAGUCUGGUGUGAAAGCCCGGGGCUCAACCCCGGAAGUGCAUUGGAUACUGGCAGUCUUGAGUAUGGGAGAGGAAGGUGGAAUUCCGAGUGUAGGAGUGAAAUCCGUAGAUAUUCGGAGGAACACCAGUGGCGAAGGCGGCUUUCUGGACCAAUACUGACGCUGAGAUGCGAAAGCGUGGGGAGCGAACAGGAUUAGAUACCCUAGUAGUCC
rnacentral:rRNA from 1 species